GGAUGGGAUAUUUUCUGGGCGUUCCCCUUGAUGUUAACUAAGUAGGCUUACAGAUGGAGGGCACAGAUGAGGAGUUUGACACCACAGCUUUGCAGGAUGAAAAUCAGACAUAAAGUCCCGCAGCAGAGGAGUCGAAUAACUUCAUCUGAAACUGAUCUGCGACCCAGAUCAGCUGCAAUACACGAUAGAUCUGAGUUUGGAUAAGGGUGAUAAGGAGAGCAGUGGAGUCACAUUGUUCACAGUUGUGUGAGGACAAAGACCCCCUGGGCAGAGGCCUGCCUCCCAGGUCAGUGGCUCAGAG